rnacentral:misc_RNA from 1 species
GGCUGGGAAGCGGCCGGUGCGGGACCUCCUCUUGCUUCCAUUUCUCGUACCCCUUGUGCCUUCAAAGGCGAAGCGAAUGACGGUCACUGCCCAAGAGGGGCGAAGACUUACCCAAAUUCGUGCGACCGCGGUGCCUAGGCAGGGCAGGAGGGAUGCUACGCGGUCCUGUGGCUGGGCGUUGUGCAGGCUCGUUAAGGGUCACCGCGGGCACGGCUUCUGGGACGCUUUCGUGGAGGCUGUCCUUCAAAGGGGCCCAAUAAAGACGGGCAGCUCUCCUGCCAUUCUCAAGGAAGACGCUGGCGCGUGGACGCCAUCCAACGAGGCCUCGAUCGAAGCUUGUGACUCUCCGUCAGAUAAUCGGGAUGGGGGGACUCCUGGAGAAAUCGGAGAAUCGCCAAAGCCGAAACGCCAGCAAGCGCUUGCGGUCGAGCAGUGUGCCGCGUGGCAACGACAGCAACGAUGGCGAACCCUCAUCGUCUGCUGAGCGGCUAGUCGCGCCACCUGCUGGGCUUCUUACGUCGACUGUUCGACGCUACCUUUGCUUACCUACGACUCAUUCCCGAAGCAGCAAGGGGGAGAAAGCGACUUCCCUCGCAGCCCAGUUUUACCUCAUGACCGUCAGCCAAGCACAGAUUCCGCUGCUCUGCCUGACGCUGUGGAAAGAGGCCAAGCUGUGCGACGGUGGCGGCUUUAUUCAACGCGCAAAGGUGUACAGGUUCUGAGUUGCAAGAAAAGAAAACGAAGAAAGUGAGCUCAGGUGACGUGAGGAAUUCGGAGAUUAAUGCUGCGACUGUGCGCUUGGGGGGAGGGGGGGGGGAAGCUUUUCUGUGUGCCUUGUAAGCCGCCUCAGCUCUCUGCGACGGCUUUGGAUGGCACCCAUUGCCGCUAAUACCACAGUUCUAUGUCGGCCGAUUGCAAAGGCGCGCUCAUGGAAGCCCCUACGGCUCCAACGGAGCGGAUGCGACAGGAUCGCACGUCGGCCAAUGCAGUCGAUCGUCUCGACGCAGCAUGUGCAGCUGCGCGGGGUGUCACGAGGGAUCAGCGACACAAGUAGAGAUGGCUUAGCUGAUUUGCACCAGUAUCACCCAGAGUAGCACUAGCACGGCUCAUGACGCCAUAGGCCUUGUUGGGACUGCCUCCAUCGUGAGUGUCGGCAAGGCACUCUGUGCUAGCAAAGACAUGAUGGUCACAUGUUCAAGUGCGGCACGCGGGGGUCGCAAGCUCAGUCCGCGCCGCUCGCACUUGCUUUCGCCCGCAAUGCCUACUUGCGUGUGCACGAGGAAGGAACUCGCCGUCCGCGGGCGUAAUGCCCCACCACCUGCAAAGCACGUGCAUGACCGGGAAAACAAAAUCCGUUUUUUGUCCUGCUGCGGGGCGCAGUCCGCACACGCUCGAGAGAGCCUUGCCCGGCUUUACAUCGGUCAAAAGCACCCGAGUGCGCGACACGGAGGCGGGCAUGCGCGUGGCUAAUGUCACUGAGGCAUCUGCGAUGGCCGACUACCCCGACGAAGCUGCUUACUGCAGGGCCGGCUGACAUGUCAUGGGCGACCGUCGUGUCGAGAAACCUGCGUGCAGACACAAACGUGUUCAAGAUGGCGGAUGCACAAGAAAAUGGCACGCAUUCGAGCAUAAAAUGCAGGCUUGAGCAAAAAAAAAAAGGAUAGCCCUAACGUGACCACCGACCUUGACUUCAGCGGUGGGACCCACGUGUAUGAUGUUGCGCCAAGAAGGGGGCGGCAGUAAUCCGCAUAGGUUCUCUGCAAGCCUGCAUCCAGUUUGACAGCGCAGCUGACCGACUUUCUUCAUCUGGUCUGCACAGCAAGGUCGUGCAUGAUCUGGUUCGUGGUCUUCGCGGUACGGCGUCUGCAGAGCCCUACCUGCUGCGGCAUAUCAGGGAAGCCGGCAACAUGGAUCGAGUAUCUUAUGCUUGUCUUGAUGCGCUUUUGCCGUGUUCACGCGUACGUUCUGCGGUGUGUCCUUCUGGCGCCGACACCGUGCGAUAUGUGUUUCUGUGUGCGCUGUACAGCGCUUCUUUCCUUCACUGUACUCGCUUUAAGGCAGUCCUCUUCAACACUGCAGAGGCGGUGCGGUACGACAGCGAGAGAAGGGCGAUCAACUGCGCGUGUCUCUUCUUUGUUUAUCUCUCUCUUCUCAACUCUUCCCGCUGAGAAGAUCGACGUUUGGCUUUUCCUGCUGACCUCCUCUUUUCGAAGCCAUGCGCGCGGGCUGUUUUUUUUUUUCCGAGAGGGGGGAUGGCGGGCUGUUGCUGUUGCGAACACUUUACUUGCCAUGUAGUCUCUUACCGCUUGAGCGUGCUGACGGAUUGUCUCUUUUUUUCGCCCCUCCCCUCUCCCGAUGCUCUGGCGCCGUUCUGAACUGAUAUCUUCUUGUUUCUUCAAUGGAGUGCCCGGCCACGGUCGGCCCUCUCCCUCUUUCGUGUGUGUCUCUCUUUUUCUCCACAUUUUUGCUUUGAAUUUUGAGUGUGGACGCCGUGCUGCUUCAGCUAUUCUUCGCAUAUCCGGUCAUUUUAAACGUUUUUUUUUCGAUUCUCCACUGCGUCUCCGCCUUGGCUUCUCGCAUGUGGCCGUUGUGUAGUGGUGUUUCAUCCGCUCACAGGUUCCGUCGUUUUGUGCGACUGUCUGUGACAAGCCGGAGGUAAUAUAAGCAGCCGUGGACGUAUGCAUAGAGAUCUCGCCCUCUGCCGUCGCUGGUGCUCUAAGCGUUCUGUCGCUGAUC